CAUGCCUGUGGUUCGUGAAUCUAAGGCGUGUGCGCCCCGCUCAGCCUCGUGCAUGUGACCGCCAUUGUUGAUGGGUCCAGCGCCAUGCGUGAGCAAGGUUAUAUUGCAGGGCGAGGACGGUGUCCGGGAGGACGGUGGGAAGUUCAUGGCUUGCGUUGGGGGAGAUCGUCGUGUUGUUCUGUAUGUGCCAGGCUAUGGCAUGGAGUGAAGUGGAACAAUUCGUCACAAUGUGUUUCAACUUUGAAGUGGCUAGGAUACCCGGAAGACCCCACAUGGACGGUGGAUGAGCUCCGCCACCUCAAUGCCGUCAGAGCCCCUUCUUCCACCAACCGCACAGCCACACCGUCGGUCUCCUUUGCCCUGUGGUUGAUUUGGUCAGUACGAGGUUGCACAGGAAGGCAUUUGCCACAGUGUCUCUCGCGGAGAUCUCAGGUUCAAGCCCAUCCGAACUGCAAAAUUUUCUGAAGGUCGAUGGAAAUGAUUUUACUCGAGACGACGCUUUUCCUCCCGUCUGAUUUACCAUCAGUAACGGAUGUCGUCCCUACUACACAACAAACUGGGCAAGGCAUGUUUGGUAAUUGCCGUGCUUUAUUUUGAUGCUCAUGUUAUGAUUACUUGAGGACACAAAUGCAUACCGCAGAGCAGUCUCAUGUGUUCGACCUCCGAGUACUAUGGAUUAUCAGGUUCUUUUAGUUUGUUUCCACAUCAGUUGUGUGCAAGGAGUCUUCUUUUUUCUCUUGUACAUGAAUCUAUUUGCUUUUCUCCAAUGGUACAAUUUCUCAAGUUCAACAAGAGUGUGGUUUGUGCCUUUUAUCCAUUCUAUCAAAAAAUGGAUCGGGGUCUACUAUCGAAAGCGAUAACAGAACAAAACAAGAAAAAUCAACGAGGUUAAUUCCUUUUUCUGCUAAGUUCUACCAUUGAACUCAAAUUCGUAUUUAAUGGAAAGAAGGUCAAACUUUUGUCCG